rnacentral:rRNA from 1 species
AGUGAACGCUGGCGGUAGGCCUAACACAUGCAAGUCGAACGGCAGCACAGUAAGAGCUUGCUCUUACGGGUGGCGAGUGGCGGACGGGUGAGGAAUACAUCGGAAUCUACUUUUUCGUGGGGGAUAACGUAGGGAAACUUACGCUAAUACCGCAUACGACCUACGGGUGAAAGUAGGGGAUCUUCGGACCUUGCGCGAUUGAAUGAGCCGAUGUCGGAUUAGCUAGUUGGCGGGGUAAAGGCCCACCAAGGCGACGAUCCGUAGCUGGUCUGAGAGGAUGAUCAGCGACACUGGAACUGAGACACGGUCCAGACUCCUACGGGAGGCAGCAGUGGGGAAUAUUGGACAAUGGGCGCAAGCCUGAUCCAGCCAUACCGCGUGGGUGAAGAAGGCCUUCGGGUUGUAAAGCCCUUUUGUUGGGAAAGAAAAGCAGCAGGUUAAUACCCCGCUGUUCUGACGGUACCCAAAGAAUAAGCACCGGCUAACUUCGUG